GACGAACGCUGGCGGCGUGCCUAAUACAUGCAAGUUGAGCGAUGAAGCUUGGUGCUUGCACCAAUUUGAAGAGCAGCGAACGGGUGAGUAACGCGUGGGGAAUCUGCCUUUGAGCGGGGGACAACAUUUGGAAACGAAUGCUAAUACCGCAUAACAACUUUAAACAUAAGUUUUAAGUUUGAAAGAUGCAAUUGCAUCACUCAAAGAUGAUCCCGCGUUGUAUUAGCUAGUUGGUGAGGUAAAGGCUCACCAAGGCGAUGAUACAUAGCCGACCUGAGAGGGUGAUCGGCCACAUUGGGACUGAGACACGGCCCAAACUCCUACGGGAGGCAGCAGGAGGGAAUCUUCGGCAAUGGACGAAAGUCUGACCGAGCAACGCCGCGUGAGUGAAGAAGGGUUUCGGAUCGUAAAACUCUGUUGGUAGAGAAGAACGUUGGUGAGAGUGGAAAGCUCAUCAAGUGACGGUAACUACCCAGAAAGGGACGGCUAACUACGUG
rnacentral:rRNA from 1 species